AGGAUGGACAACAGGUUGAAAUUCCUGUACCUUAAGUAAACAGAACUGUGGGGACACGUGUGGAGAGCACAAGCCGGAAAUGGAAAAGCCGGUGCAAGCGAGGUAGGAGAUGAACAGGCAAAUCCGUUCAUCAAUCCGAAGACGUGAUGCGGACCGAAUUAAGAGUAGGGAAGUGUGUGAGCCAUGCGUCAAGAAAAGCCGCUAUUGUUUUACUUAAGCCCGUACCGUAAACCGACACAGGUGGAUGAGGAGAGAAUCCUAAGGCCGACGGGAGAAGCAUUGUUAAGGAACUCGGCAAAAUGACUCCGUAACUUCGGGAGAAGGAGUGCCAGCGAGAGCUGGUCGCAGAGAAUUGGCCCAAGCAACUGUUUAGCAAAAACACAGGUCUAUGCAAAACCGUAAGGUGAAGUAUAUGGGCUGACGCCUGCCCGGUGCUGGAAGGUUAAGAGGAGAGGUUAGCGGCAACGCGAAGCUUUGAAUUUAAGCCCCAGUAAACGGCGGCCGUAACAAUAACGGUCCUAAGGUAGCGAAAUUCCUUGUCGGGUAAGUUCCGACCCGCACGAAAGGCGUAAUGAUUUGGGCACUGUCUCAACAAUGCACCCGGUGAAAUUGAAAUACCAGUGAAGAUGCUGGUUACCUGCGCCAGGACGGAAAGACCCCAUGGAGCUUUACUCCAGCUUGAUACUGGGAUUCGGUAUUGCAUGUACAGGAUAGGUGGGAGGCUAGGAAGUGAUAACGCCAGUUGUCACGGAGCCGCUGUUGGGAUACCACCCUUGCAGUAUUGGAUUUCUAACCAGCGACCAUGAACUGGUCGGGGGACAGUGUCAGGUGGGGAGUUUGACUGGGGCGGUCGCCUCCGAAAGGGUAUCGGAGGCGCUCAAAGGUUCCCUCAGAAUGGACGGAAACCAUUCGAAGAGUGCAAAGGCAGAAGGGAGCUUGACUGCGACACCGACGGGUGGAGCAGGUACGAAAGUAGGACUUAGUGAUCCGGUGGUAUAAAGUGGGAUUGCCAUCGCUCAACGGAUAAAAGCUACCCUGGGAUAACAUGCUUAUCACUCCCAAGAGUUCACAUCGACGGAGUGGUUUGGCACCUCGAUGUCGGCUCAUCGCAUCCUGGGGCUGAAGUAGGUCCCAAGGGUUGGGCUGUUCGCCCAUUAAAGCGGUACGCGAGCUGGGUUCAGAACGUCGUGAGACAGUUCGGUCCCUAUCCGGCGUGGGCGUAGGAUAUUUGAGAGGAGCUGUCCUUAGUACGAGAGGACCGGGGUGGACUGGCCGCUGGUGUAUCUGUUGCAUACCAAAUGCAUGGCAGAGUAGCCAAGCCGGGACGGGAUAAACGCUGAAGGCAUCUAAGCGUGAAGCCCCCCUCAAGAUGAGAUAUCCCUACGUAAGUAGUAAGACCCCUUGAAGACGACGAGGUAGAUAGGUCAGAGGUGGAAGUACAGUAAUGUAUGGAGCUGACUGAUACUAAUCGGUCGAGGGCAUGACC
rnacentral:rRNA from 1 species